rnacentral:rRNA from 1 species
CAGCACGGGAGCAAUCCUGGUGGCGAGUGGCGAACGGGUGAGUAAAGUAUACGAACGUGCCCAGUCGUGCGAGAUAACGUAGCGAAAGUUACGCUAAUAACGCAUACGAUCUAUGGAUGAAAGCGGGGGAUCGCAAGACCUCGCGCGAUCGGAGCGGCCGAUAUCAGAUUAGGUAGUUGGUGGGGUAAAGGCUCACCAACCGCACGAUCUGUAGCUGGUCUGAGAGGACUACCAGCCACACUGAUGACUGAGACAUCAGACUGGCCCCCCACUGGCAGGCAGCAGUGUGGAAGUCUGCACAAUGGGCGAAAGCCUGAUCCAGCCAUAGCCGCUGUGCAGGAUGAAGGCCGUCUGGCGUUCGUAAUACUGCUAUGCACGGAACGUAAGGGUCUAGCCUCAUA